GCGGGAAUAGCUCAGUUGGUAGAGCAUUACCUUGCCAAGGUAGAGGUCGCGGGUUCAAGUCCCGUUUCCCGCUCCA
rnacentral:tRNA from 1 species